UCAGUAAUCCCCUCUGACUUGCUAAGAAGUAAACUGAAGUGAAUGACAAUUCCACCACCCGAAUACAACAUCUUACUCGUAUUGGUCACAAUUUAGGCCAUACAGCAGGUCAUUUCAGUUCUGAUCAGCCGUGCCUUAGCACACCCCUGCUGCACAAGGCUGAGCUCCACCAAGAAACGCCUUUCCACAGGAGUAGUCAGUCCCACUAACGCAAACAUUUGGCUUUGCUUAUAUUGAUCUAAGUCUAGCAGCCAGGGUUCGCAGUUUCUGUAAAACCUUUGAGACUGCACAACCUCACAGCUCUCUAGGGCUUGUUUUUGCUACAGCUCUACAGCUUAUCUGGUUGCCAGGUGUUAAGAUGAAGGAGCACGGAUGAGUGAGAAAACUUCUGGCCAAACCCAGAAUCCUUAAUCCUGUGAGCAAGUCCACAUGCAUACAUAUGGCUCCGAGGAGGCUAACAUGACACGACAGGAUUUGCAAGAGUCAAGGAUUCAUCUUAGUUACAGCUUAAACCAUGGACAGAAACUCUACUUGUGGCCUUUAGCAGCAGGCUCUGAGGAACACAACAGCCAGAAGACAUCUGGGCCCUCUCUCUGCUUGGUCCACUCGCCAGCACGGCAGCAGCAGUAAUGAAGGGCUCUGAAACGGGAUAUGCUGAGGAAACUAUUGCUGGAAAGAAAUGAUGUAUAUGCUAUUAAGAAACCUUUUGCCUAAGUAGUCAUGCACAGUAUAAAUGGUGAGUUUUUGUUUUCUUCAGCUCUUCAAGCCCUCAUCACUCCUAGUCACACGUACAAAUGAUUUCCAAAUUGUACUCGUGAAUCCAGUGGUCCGCAUAUAGGCGAAAGCCAAUGCCUCUUCAAAUUGACGAUGCUUUAGGUAGAUAUACAUCAGUGCACUGACAUUGACAGGCAUGGCUGGGGGGGAAAUCCAGUCCUGCCACUGUGAAUAGAUUAAAACUGAAUGGAUUGCAAGGCAAAUUUCAGCCUAUGACAUGAUCCAGUGAUUUUUGCCUAAGAGUGAGUCAAGCAUGAAGAUUAAGAAAGGAAUUGUCUUUACCAAACAUCUGUUCUUAUACCAGUGAUAAGAAGAAUUGAAAUAUUUAUUCAUAUCUUUAGUGGGCUUCAAAGGCAGUUUCUCUAUAUGGAUGGCUGGUAGACAAGAUGGGCUGGAGGGUCAUUUGAAAACCAGGGAGAGUUGUGCAGUACCCAGCGCCUGAUGCCCUUCGAACAUCACACAGGAAAUCUGAAUGCUCAGCAUGGGUCCCUCCACAUGAGCUUGUUACUGCAGGAUUUGUUAUGCAGGGUCACAUAUCUAUAACCCUUUCCUUCUCUUUUGGAAGAUGUUUAAAACUAUGCGUGACAGACAGGAAGUUUAUCCCUGUGGAGAGAGACAGAGUUAAGCCUCUAUUUAAGCCUCGCUGAAGUCCUCCCAGUAUCUCACAAAGAACAAGUCACUACCAGUUUCUUCAUUCCAUGGUUAAACUCUCAGCCUAAUUUCACCAAAAUGUUUUUUUUUUUAAAAAAGAAAGCAUCCCUACAACUAUGAUUGGGAAAUUAGGCUAUUCACCAACCACCACACUGUGGCACAAGCAUCAGUCAGGUUUUUCAAAGUCUCAGUGAUGAAAGUCAGCCCAGCCAAAAUAAGAAAUUGCACAAAAUGAAAGGACUGACUUGCAAACACAAAUAAGACAUCAACACUCAUUACUCCACCUCUGCCUUGAUGGCACAGAAGAAUUAACUUGUUAAUGCAAUGCCCUAAUAGGGGAUCAUAAAUCACAAGCCUCUUAAACCUGAAGUGAUUGAUUUGCUUUUUAUUUAGUCUUUAACCUUAUUAGAAUCUGCAACUGUAUGAAAUGUUAGCUAGUACAAAUAAUAGUAGUACUUUACAGAGUAUGGCUUUUUUAAGUUACAGCUUUUUUUCACAGCAGCAGUGCAUGACAAGCAGUAUAGUAGUACAGUUCCUUGAUUUUCAGUGCUAAUUGGUAUUGCUGCAGACCCCAAAUUAGUCAAAAUUUGAGAGGUAAACACAACCACUAAUCUCAAAGGGAUUAGUCUACAACAGAAAAGUCAGAGCCUUACCUGUAGUUUCUCAUUUCAUAUAGCUAGCAUAUAAUUAUUUUCUAACAUCAUUUUAAUGUUGCAACAGGACUUAACUCUGGCCUUUAGAUGCAGCUGUUAAAAAAAAGGGUAUAACUUCCAACCUUACACAGACAUUUUUCUAGUUUAACUAUUUUACUAAAUGUUUCAUCUACUAGAUGUUGCUAUUUUGGAAUAGAAUUUUGUAUGCUCUUCCUGCCCCCCCCCCAAGAUUCAUGUAAUUAUUUUGCUUGCUCCUACUUCAGCCAUGUUCUGGGUAUAAUGCAUUUCCACAACAGUUUUUUUGCUUACCAUGCUUUUGUUUUCCCUGUAUUUCAGUCCACAGAUUUUCAUUCUGUCUCCUAUCAUGCCAUAUACUGCCGUGGUACCAGACACAGCAGGAUGUAAUCUAUGUUGCUAGUGCCAUCAGUCAAAUGGAGCUGGUGUUAUGUAUUGCAUACACAAAAGAGUUGAAGACAGGCUGUUUCAUCUUAUCAACUCUAUCCUCCUUCUUAGCCAAAAUGGUCCUUUCCUUGCUCAUUUAAGUAUGCCUUUGAAAAUAAGUUGCCUGCUUAAAGUCAUCUUGGCUCUGCCGAGUGGAAUCUUUUCUUGACGAGUAAAUCACGUCACCUACAGCACCAAGAAACUGCUUGUUAUACUCUGAGCCAAAGAAAAUUUCCUGGAUAGCUGUACUUUCUGGCAAACGUACGUUAAGGAUCAAGAACCGUUCUCUAAGGCUUCCCCAAGGACACAUGCUUGGCCAACCAUUACCAAAAGGACAUGAGAAAUAACAUAAACCCAGUCUGGCUGAGUUUUGUUGCCGAAGUCUGGUGAGAGGGAAAAAAAAUAUGCUGUAUUGUACAGUUCCUCUCUAUGCACAAUAAAUACACCCUGUAGAGUCA
rnacentral:lncRNA from 1 species